rnacentral:rRNA from 1 species
AGUUCGGACUGCAGUCUGCAACUCGACUGCACGAAGUCGGAAUUGCUAGUAAUCGCGGAUCAGCAUGCCGCGGUGAAUACGUUCCCGGGCCUUGUACACACCGCCCGUCACACCAUGAGAGUCGGGAACACCCGAAGUCCGUAGUCUAACCGCAAGGAGGACGCGGCCGAAGGUGGGCUUGAUAAUUGGGGUGAAGUCGUAACAAGGUAGC